GCAGAGGAUCGGGUCCCUUCUCGGGCUGAGACAACCCAGCGAAGGCAGACAUGUCAAUGCCAGGGCCAGGGGGACCAGGAGGACCAGGGGGUCCAGGGUUACCAGGUUUUAUGUGCACUCACACUUGGGCCAGACUCUCCAGAGCGUCCACGAGGUCCAGGUGGUCCAAUAGGUCCAGGCUGACCAUUAGAACCAUCCUUACCAGCUGGUCCAACAGGUCCUGCAGCUGAGAACCACACUCACUUUAGCGCCACUCGGUCCACCAGGUCCAGCAGCACCCUGGUCUCCAGGAGCACCCUUUUUUGGGGAGGCACAACAGAAAUCUUCUCCUGCCUCACCCUUAUCACCACGAGGCCCUUGGGGUCCCUGAUACAGAGAAAUGGAAAAAGUCCAUCAACCUGUGAGCAGCUAUAAACUCCAGCGGGUCCAGGGGGUCCACCAGGUCCUUGUGGGCCCUUUAGAAAGGAAAGAAGAUGGUACAUAAUAAAUAAAAACACUUCAUGUAAUAACCAGGAGCACCAGGUGCACCAGGAGCUCCAGGAGCACCAAUUGGGCCAGUGUUACCACGCUCACCCUAGAAAACAACAAGAGCACCAUCUCUACCAGGUGGACCAUCAGAUCCAGGAUUACCCUGAGGACAAACAGAAUGGAUGAUCUCUCCAGAAGGUCCAGUCAAUCCAGGAGGUCCAACAGGGCCAGGGGGUCCACGGUCACCAGAAGAGCCAGGACCUCCCUGUUUGCCAGGCUCACCCUGUGGUACAAAUCAUUUUAGGCAGAAGAGGGUCCUGGAAGUCCUGGGAAACCUCUUUCACCACGCUGACCAGGCAAACCAACAAUACCACGCUGACCAGCAAGACCAGCAGGGCCAGAAGGACCAUCAGGACCCUACAAAGGAAAUAUUGAGAGAAGAAAUAUUAAGAAUACAGCUCUCCCUUCUCUCCAGGAGCACCAGGAGCUCCACGCAGUCCAGCAUCUCCUGCUCUGCCUGGGAGACCGGCAUCACCACGAACUCCCUUAGGACCAUCUUUACCAGCAGCCCCUGCAGGGCCAGG